CUCGUAUUAACGCAUAAACCAUGCUAAAAACUCCCGUCCAAAAACUUUCAACCUCAAACGCGGAAGUUUGCAUAUGCCACAAGUACCACACAUAGUAAAAACUUCUAUCAUUUAAACUUCAUAGCAGAAAGUGAUACGGAAACUCAUCAAUUACUUAGUACCACAACCAUUUGAAUAUUUGCAGUCCACAGUGGCAAAACUUGAUUGAAGUCUAGUCUGUUAAGUCUCUUCCCCUCUUUUCCCAUGAGUUUGCUUCUAACACUUCUGUGCCAGAAGUAGCUCCUACAAGACCAGAGGAUGAGCUGCUUCAGGAAGCCAGAUUUUUUUUUUUUUUUGGUAGCCUGACAAUCCAGAAUGAUUUCAACUGCCACAGACACACAGCGGACAAGAGCUUCAAAUACUGUUACCCAAAUAGUAUUUGAACAAGUGAAGCAUGUCAAAGCCCUCAGAAAUGCAGAGGUUGGAUACAGACCAUUCUCUAGAUCUACUCCUUGACUAAAGGCCGAUUAGUCUUUUAAAAAAGUACUUCAUAUGGGACAGCUUGACAUUUUCUGCACUGUAGAAUUGAGCUGCAAUGAAGCAUAGUUGCAGAGUAGUUGACAUGGAUGUCAGUAAUACAGGAGCAAAACAGAAGUACCUUGCUACUCACAUUAUUAUAGUUAAAUAUUAAAAAGGUAAUUUACUUCAAGUAUCAGCACUGAUAAUAUUUCCUACCUGGAACGACUUUCUGAAAGCUAUCAUAGCAAGUCAUCCUGAUCAGUGCUAUUAAUUGUUUUUUUUUUUUUUUCUUGGAUUUGGUCAGAACUUCAUUAAUGAACACUGUAGAUUAGAUGGCUUAUGUGGAUGUUCUAGCAUCCACAGGCUGCAUUGUCUUUUUAUUAUUUUAAAAUUAUUUUUGUAAGACAGUAUCAGAAAUGUUAAGAUUUAUGGUAGUACAGGGUUUUGGCCAUUUCUGAACUGCUGAAGAGGGCACCAGAACAACAACAACAACAAAAAAAACAUGGUUUAGCAAGACGUGACAAUACAAGAACCAGCUUAAAAGCGUGUGUGGCUCUGCGAAGAUGCAGGUUAUAUUUUCCAUUAUCUUCAGACAUCCUAGGUAUUAUAAACAAAAGCACAUGCCCAACAGAACAAUAAAGAUGACAUCUUAGUUAAAAGAUCUUGAGUAGCUGGCAACUAUACCAGUUUCACUAUUAGCUGCCUUUUCGGGAGAGGGAAGGGUUUAAGAAAGGUAGCAAUCUGGCAAAAAACGGAAAGGUUUCCUUUUUGUUCCAAAGUACAUGGUUGUUGCAUCUGUAAAACAAUCAACAAAGAAAUAGAUAAAA